rnacentral:ncRNA from 1 species
UAUACAGGGGAGCUUGUAAAAGCAGGCUGAGAGGAAGCUGUAAGGUUUCGACCCUUUACCUGAUACGGAUAAUGCCGUCGUAGGGAGCAUAUUA